rnacentral:rRNA from 1 species
CAGCCGCCGCGGUAAUACAGAGGUCUCAAGCGUUGUUCGGAUUCAUUGGGCGUAAAGGGAGCGUAGGCGGUCGGGUAAGUUGGAUGUGAAACCCUGGGGCUCAACCUCAGAACUGUAUUCAAUACUGCUUGGCUAGAGUACUGGAGAGGUGAGUGGAAUUCACGGUGUAGCAGUGAAAUGCGUAGAUAUCGUGAGGAAGACCAGCGGCGAAGGCGGCUCACUGGACAGUUACUGACGCUGAUGCUCGAAGGCCAGGGGAGCAAACGGGAUUAGAUACCCCGGUAGUCCCUGUCUCUUAUAC